rnacentral:rRNA from 1 species
UGCAUAUCAAUAAGCGGAGGAAAGGAAACUAACAAGGAUUCCCCUAGUAACUGCGAGUGAAGCGGGAAAAGCUCAAAUUUAAAAUCUGGCAGUCUUUGGCUGUCCGAGUUGUAAUCUAGAGAAGUAUUAUCCGCGCUGGACCGUGUACAAGUCCCCUGGAAUGGGGCGUCAUAGAGGGUGAGAAUCCCGUCUUUGACACGGACUGCCAGGGCUUUGUGAUGUGCUCUCAAAGAGUCGAGUUGUUUGGGAAUGCAGCUCAAAAUGGGUGGUAAAUUCCAUCUAAAGCUAAAUAUUGGCGAGAGACCGUUAGCGAACAAGUACCGUGAGGGAAAGAUGGAAAGAACUUUGGAAAGAGAGUUAAACAGUACGUGAAAUUGCUGAAAGGGAAACGCUUGAAGUCAGUCGCGUUGGCCAGGGAUCAACCUUGCUUUUUUGCUUGGCUUACUUUCUGGUCGAUGGGUCAGCAUCAAUUUUGACUGGUGGAAAAAGUUCAAGGGAAUGUGGCAUCUUCGGAUGUGUUAUAGCCUUUGUUCACAUACAUCAGUUGGGAUUGAGGAACUCAGCACGCCGCGAGGCCGGGUUUUUAACCACGUACGUGCUUAGGAUGCUGACGUAAUGGCUUUAAACGAC